AGCAGCCGCGGUAAUUCCAGCUCCAAUAGCGUAUAUUAAAGUUGUUGCAGUUAAAAAGCUCGUAGUUGAAUUUCGGGAUCAAUUCGUCGGUCGUGCUUUUUUGGUACGUACUGGGGUUAUUGGUUUCUCCCUUCUGACGAACCAUGAUGUCAUUAAUUUGGUGUUAUGGGGAGUUAGGACUGUUACUUUGAAAAAAUUAGAGUGUUUAAAGCAGGCAUUAGCUUGAAUACAUUAGCAUGGAAUAAUGAAAUAGGACGUUCGAUCCUAUUUUGUUGGUUUCUAGGAUUCAACGUAAUGAUUAAUAGGGAUAGUUGGGGGCAUUAGUAUUCAAUUGUCAGAGGUGAAAUUCUUGGAUUUAUUGAAGACUAACUACUGCGAAAGCAUUUGCCAAGGAUGUUUCAUUAAUCAAGAACGAAAGUUAGGGGAUACGAAGACGAUCGAGAUACCGUCGUAGUCUUAACCAUAAACUAUGCCGACUAGGGAUCGGAUGAUGUUAAUUUUUANGUACUCAUUCGGCGUC
rnacentral:rRNA from 1 species